rnacentral:SRP_RNA from 1 species
GCUGGGCAUGGUGGCGUGUGCCUGUAAUCCCAGCUACUCGGGAGGCUGAGGCAGGAGAAUUGCUUGAACCCAGGAGGCGGAGGUUGCGGUGAGCCGAGAUCGUGCCAUUGCACUCCAGUCUGGGUAACAACGGUGAGACUCUGUCUCAAAAAAAAAAAAAAGAGUCUUUUCUCUGUUGCCCAGGCUGGAGUGCAGUGGUGUGAUCUUAGCUUACUGCAACCUCCGCCUCCUGGGUUCAAGCAGUUCUCUGCCUCAG